GCUCUGGUGGCUCAAUCGGAUAGAGCGUUGGACUUCUAAUCCAAAGGUUGCGGGUUCAAGUCCCCCCCAGAGUA
rnacentral:tRNA from 1 species